rnacentral:rRNA from 1 species
CCCUUAGAUGUUCUGGGCCGCACGCGCGCUACACUGAUGCAUUCAACGAGCCUAUCCUUGACCGACAGGUCCGGGUAAUCUUUGAAUCUGCAUCGUGAUGGGGCUAGAUUCUUGCAAUUAUUAAUCUCCAACGAGGAAUUCCUAGUAAACGCAAGUCAUCAGCUUGCAUUGAUUACGUCCCUGCCCUUUGUACACACCGCCCGUCGCACCUACCGAUUGAAUGGUCCGGUGAAAUCUUGGGAUUUUGUUUUGUUUGCAUUUAUUUGUAUCGAGACGAGAGAACUUGAGUAAACCUUACCAUUUAGAGGAAGGUGAAGUCGUAACA